GACGAACGCUGGCGGCGUGCCUAAUACAUGCAAGUCGAACGCAGUGGGGAUGGGUGAGUAACACGUGGGUAACCUCCCCAUCAGAGGGGAUAACACUUGGAAACAGGUGCUAAACCGAUACUGAUGGAUGGACCCGCGGUGCAUUAGCUAGUUGGUGAGGUAACGGCUCAUCAAGGCCACGAUGCAUAGCCGAACGGAGAGGGGGAUCGGCCACCAUGGGACUGAGACAAGGCACAGAAUCCUCCGGGAGGCAGCAGUAGGAGAUCUUCGGCAAUGGACGAAAGGCUGACCUAGCAACGCCGCGAGAGUGAAGAAGGUUUGCGGAUCGUAAAACUCUGGUGUUAGAGAAGCGGUAUCUAACCAGAAAGCCACGGCUAACUACGUGCCAGCAGCCGCGGUAAUAC
rnacentral:rRNA from 1 species